AAAUUGUAUGAUGGAAUGAUUAUAGAUUUCUGGAUGAGCAAGUAGUUUCUACCAUAGAAGUUUCUGUAUGUACACGCACACUUGAGAAUUACAAGACCAAGGUUCAUGUUUCCAAGCACAAAUACUUCCGAACUCGGUUCAAUUGCUAAUAGGCAACUCUUUUAUGAAAAUUUUGAAAUAGAAAAUAGACAACAAGCUACUAUUUUGUAUACAUCAAGUGGGAAGGGAACUCUAAGAAAAUAGUAAUAGAUAUUUGACAAUCCAAAAAAUUGAUAACA
rnacentral:misc_RNA from 1 species